rnacentral:tmRNA from 1 species
GGGAUAACUAGGAGUCGCGAGUCCGGGUCCAUGACCCAAUCAACAACGUGGAUAAGGCUUAACUGCAAACAAUAAUUACGCUCUCGUUGCUUACUUAGCAGUGUGUCCGCUUACCGCGAGCCUGUAGUGGUAAACCGGGCGUCGACUAAUCGGCUACCGAACCCACGGUUUGCCAAAGCCUUAGGGGAAGGAAAUAACACCUGUGCUAGCGUAAAUGUAUCCUGUCUCAGGGAGCCCCAUACGCGAAUCCAAAUCUGAGGCUACACUCGUAGAAGCUUUUACUGGUCUGCUUUCGGACAGGUUCGACUCCCCUC